GUAGUCAUAUGCUUGUCUCAAAGAUUAAGCCAUGCAUGUCUAAGUAUAAGCAAUUAUACCGCGAAACUGCGAGUGGCUCAUUAAAUCAGUUAUCGUUUAUUUGAUAGUACCUUACUACAUGGAUAACCGUGGUAAUUCUAGAGCUAAUACAUGCUAAAAAUCCCGACUUCGGAAGGGAUGUAUUUAUUAGAUUAAAAACCAAUGCCCUUCGGGGCUCUCUGGUGAUUCAUAAUAACUUCUCGAAUCGCACGGCCUUGCGCCGGCGAUGGUUCAUUCAAAUUUCUGCCCUAUCAACUUUCGACGGCUGGGUCUUGGCCAGCCGUGGUGACAACGGGUAACGGAGGGUUAGGGCUCGACCCCGGAGAAGGAGCCUGAGAAACGGCUACUACAUCCAAGGAAGGCAGCAGGCGCGCAAAUUACCCAAUCCCGACACGGGGAGGUAGUGACAAUAAAUACUGAUACAGGGCUCUUUCGGGUCUUGUAAUUGGAAUGAGUACAAUUUAAAUCCCUUAACGAGGAACAAUUGGAGGGCAAGUCUGGUGCCAGCAGCC
rnacentral:rRNA from 1 species